AACGAACGCUGGCGGCAGGCCUAACACAUGCAAGUCGAGCGAAGCCUUCGGGCUUAGCGGCGGACGGGUGAGUAACGCGUGGGAACGUGCCCUUUGGUACGGAAUAGCCCCGGGAAACUGGGAGUAAUACCGUAUGUGGUCGAGAGACGAAAGAUUUAUCGCCAAAGGAUCGGCCCGCGUUGGAUUAGGUAGUUGGGGAGGUAAUGGCCUACCAAGCCGACGAUCCAUAGCUGGUUUGAGAGGAUGAUCAGCCACACUGGGACUGAGACACGGCCCAGACUCCUACGGGAGGCAGCAGUGGGGAAUCUUAGACAAUGGGGGAAACCCUGAUCUAGCCAUGCCGCGUGAUCGAUGAAGGCCUUAGGGUUGUAAAGAUCUUUCAGUGGGGAAGAUAAUGACUGUACCCACAGAAGAAGCCCCGGCUAACUCCGUGCCAGCCGCCGCGGUAAGAC
rnacentral:rRNA from 1 species